GUCUACGGCCAUAUCACAUUGAAAACACCGGUUCUCGUCCGAUCACCGAAGUUAAGCAACGUCGAGCCCGGUUAGUACUUGGAUGGGUGACCGCCUGGGAAUACCGGGUGCUGUAGGCU
rnacentral:rRNA from 1 species